GGGCGCGUAGCUCAGCGGAAGAGCACUCGCCUUACAAGCGAGGGGUCGCAGGUUCGAACCCUGCCGCGCCCA
rnacentral:tRNA from 4 species